ensembl:lncRNA
AUCUUUUUCUGGAGAUCCCUCCAUGGUGGAGCUUUCCUUGUGAACCUGGAAUCUUCUGAUGCAGAUCAACAUAGUGACACGAUAUAUGGAAACUACUGAGUCCUGGCCUGAAGCAGUGAUGGAGCACCUGGGGAAAGGACCCGGUCAGCCCUGGGAGCACAGGCACAGACAAAGAAUCAUACAAUGGCCUGGGUUGAAAAGGACCACAAUGAUCAUCUCGUUCCAACCCCCUGCUAUGUGCAGGGUCACCAACCAGCAGACCAGGCUGCCCAGAGCCACAUCCAGCCUGGCCUUGAAUGCCCCCAGGGAUGGGGCACCCACACCUCCUUGAGCAACCUGUUCAGUGCGUCACCACCCUCUGUGUGAAAAGGAAAAGUUUGUUUACAGCCAGGCAACAGAUGUCAGUUUCAAGGAGUCACAUUUUGUGGCCUUUUAACUGAAGGAUGAAAAAAAAAAGGUUUACUUGCACUCACUUACGCCACUCCAAAGUUGUGUAACACAGCACAGAGCUCCUACUUCACCCUUUCCUUCUGCCCACUCCUGCUUGGCAGCCUUAAUGUCUGAGCAUUCAUUUUGGGCCCAUGACAGCUUUCUGAACAAAACAGCCAUCUCACUGCGCUGUGAUUUCCACAAUGUUCUCUAGUGCUCAGAUGCACCUGCACCCCCACAGACUCUGAACACUGCAUAACCUGCUAUGCAGAAAUGGAUGCUUUUGAGUUAAACUGCUGCUGGGGCAGAAGAAACCCAGCGAACAGCCAUGUGUUUAUUGAAGCAGGCAACGAAGUUAGAGUGUGUGUUAAUUGUAUGUACCAUAAAACUGAAAUAUUGCAAUAGUUUUAUUGUGAUCAGGUGCUUUAAAAUCAUUAAAGCCUAAACACAUUCAAUUCAUGACAUGUUUCCCAGUUUCUGGGUCCUGAGAAU